GGAGAGCGGAGAGGUCCGGGUUGGCUUUGGGGAAUUGGGAAGUAGACGAGGUUAAUUGAGAAAAAUUGUGGGGUCAGUUCCAGACUGCUAAGCUACCCCUCCCAUCUCCCACCACUGCCCCACCCCGAAGUGGCCCCCAGGCUGAAGGGGGGUGCGGCGCCGGGAAGGGGGGCGAAAAGAUGCUGGGGGGCCCCUGGCAGUCCCCGCACACCUGGCCUCCUGCGGGGCAGAGCUGGAGGGGAAAGGAGUCUGGAGUGGAUUCAGGGUAUUGUAUGGGGGAAAGUGUCGCCCCCACCCCCAUUUUUUUUCUUUCUUUCUCUUUCUCUUUCUUUUUCUUUUUUUGCCAAGAAGGGAGGAAGAGGCGGCCCGGCUGAUUGCUGGGGACGGAGGACGAGGAGCACGGCCCUGGGACAGCCGUGUCCCCCCACCUCCCUACGUGCACUUCCUCCUUCUGACCGCAGGGGCCAGGAAGGCCCCCGAGUUUGGAGAUUUGCCACGGGGUCCGAAAUGGGGCUGAGCGGCGGCCCGGGAGGCUCGGCGCAGGCGAACUGGUCCGCCCGGAUUCCUGGGGAGACCCCGCGCGGGCGGUCCCAGCCCCGAGGGGCGGGAUUCCCACGGCUCCCACCCUCCGCGGCCACGCCCCGGCCCCCGAGGCGUCCUGUGCUUCCCGGGUCCGGCCGGCAGGUGGCAGCAUCGCCCAACCCGGGAUUUCCCGGGAGCGCGGGACGCUGGGCUGGGACCUGGGACUUGGGGCUGGGUCUCCCACGCUCCCCCCCCAAACCUCCACCUCCCCUUGCCCCCCGGGAGCUGGCUGAUGAGCGGGGUGGGGUGCCGUCUCGGGGGUGAUAGGCGCAGGAUGAGAGCCAGACGCCCACACACGGAUGAGACCUGUGGAAACCGAGCGGGAGCUGGAGAGGUGAAGCCCGGACGCCUGGGGAGAGGGCGCCGUGGACAUGAUCUGGCAACGCUACCCACAUCCCUGAAAUGUCAUAGAGCAGGCACCUGAGAAGAGCUGCUCCAGCCACUGGCUCACAUCUCCGCAGUGGGAAAGUACGGCUCAUGGGGAGGGGGCCAGAGGGCCUCUGGACCCUGCCUCUGGGUCCCCAGCUUUUUCAUGACACAGAACUGCCCUUCUAUGCUCCUUCCUGCAAAUGGGGAGGGGAAGGGCCUGAGGUGGGUGGUCCCAGCCCAGGAGAGAACACUAACCCUUGUUGUCAGCAUCCACCAUGGCUCCCGGGGCCCCAGCAUUCUUAAUGGGUGAGGUCGGGUGGGAGCGGGGGCACAGUGGGACCCCAGACAGAGCAGACAGGGGGCUGUUCUUGUGUAGAGGCAGGAGGGUCGUGGACAGAGCCAGCAUCUUCUGUUCAAGGCUUAAUCUGGCAGUGGGAGGGGAGUGGGUGCAUGCGUGCACGUGUGUGCUCAAGGCGUGCAAGGGGCAGAGACCUCAUGCGGUCAGUGGGUCCCUCUAGAUUCCACACCAUUUCCGUCUGGGAAUUCCCAAGAGCAGCAAAGUCCAAAUGUCUUCAUACACGCUCGCCACCACCCCGGCCCUUUCACUAAAGAACGAGCUGGUUGUGCCUCCUGCAGGGGCCCAGCUGGAAGGGCCUGGGAGGUCAGCUAGUCCACCAAAGGAGCCAACUGGAGCUCAGAGGGGUGAGGAGGCCAAGUCACACGGGACACUGGGGCUGAGUCAGGACCAGAACCACACGGGUCUCAAGACCCCACACUCAGAGGCAGCCUCAGGAGGCAGCUGCUGCCCCCGACGGAAGAAUCCUGCCUGGGGACCUGGUGAAGCCUGACUGAGCCCAGCCCAGGCCCCGGGUGAGGGGGAGGAGCCAGGCCAAGUUCUGCUCCUCUCUGCCCACUCCCCACCAUACUGUGGUGGCCACUCAUAUCCAUAAUGGCUUACGGCUGUGGGCUGGGAUCUUUCUUUUCAAAGCCCACAGGACAUUCUGCUCUAGCCCAGCUCUGCCUGCAGGGACAGUGUUCUGUUGUGUUGCUAAGUGUGCCAGUUACUAUGGGGUGCUGUGUGGCCUUCGUCAAGAAACUUAACGUCUCUGUGCCUCUCUAAACGCAUCUGUGAACGAGGUUGGGGGGGGUGGAUUACAUAGGGUCAUAAUAGGGAUGAAACGAGCCCCUCGGUGUCUGGAAUACAGCAAUGGGAAAUAAAUGUUAGUUUAAUAACGA